GACGAACGCUGGCGGCGUGCCUAAUACAUGCAAGUUGAGCGCUGAAGGUUGGUACUUGUACCAACUGGAUGAGCAGCGAACGGGUGAGUAACGCGUGGGGAAUCUGCCUUUGAGCGGGGGACAACAUUUGGAAACGAAUGCUAAUACCGCAUAAAAACUUUAAACACAAGUUUUAAGUUUGAAAGAUGCAAUUGCAUCACUCAAAGAUGAUCCCGCGUUGUAUUAGCUAGUUGGUGAGGUAAAGGCUCACCAAGGCGAUGAUACAUAGCCGACCUGAGAGGGUGAUCGGCCACAUUGGGACUGGGACCCGGCCCAAACUCCUACGGGAGGCAGCAGUAGGGAAUCUUCGGCCAUGGACGAAAGUCUGACCGAGCAACGCCGCGUGAGUGAAGAAGGGUUUCGGAUCGUAAAACUCUGUUGGUAGAGAAGAACGUUGGUGAGAGUGGAAAGCUCAUCAAGUGACGGUAACUACCCAGAAAGGGACGGCUAACUACGUG
rnacentral:rRNA from 1 species